UGGGAAACAGGAGCUGGAUUUUAAAAAUGCUACCAGGGAUUCCAUCCAACUGCUGUUCCACAGGGCCCAAGUGUGCUGCUGUCAGCAGACGCUUUCUCUGGCACAUACCAAACCUACAAAUUUAUAGUCAGCAGCCAUGCACUACAGAGCCAGGAAUACAGAAAAAAACCCAAAACAACAAAUUGAAGAACAGGCUGUUCCUCACCAACGCAUCAGGGACGAUUUAACUUUUCUUGCAACUCCAAAUAAGGAACAGAUGAAUCCAGCAAGUUGCACAGUUAGGGCAAGAAAGAAGGAAAAAUUCUGCCACCCUUGAGAAAAAAUGAUGGAAUGAAGAUACAAUAAUGUGAUAAUCGAGUGCCUUCACAGAGCCCACCAGUGCAUUAUGACUCCAACAUGCAGAAUGCAAACAUCUGCUGGCAUCAUUAAACCAUGUCUGUACUCUACAUACCAAUACUUGACCCCGUGACCAUUUCUACCAUUAGAUUUAAAUGACCUCAGCAAAAGAGCUGAAAGGCCAGAGUAUUAAUUCACAGAACCACAAGCUCAAUUUAAGAUUUAAUUUGAGAUAACUAAGAGCAACUGAAAGUGUAUUCAAACUUAUAUGUGUGGAAUAAAAGAUCUUACUCUGUUUUUUAACUUAAAUAUAAAUUCAAUUUUUUUGUAACAGAUUUAUUCACAACUUUACAAACAUGGCCCAGAGUUGUUGGGGUUGUUUUUUUUUUAGCAGACCUUUUGCUUAAUAACCAGCAUUAUGAUGAUGCUAUUUAGCAAUUCUCCCCUCCCCCCAAUUUAUGAAUGUCUUCCCUUUAGGGAUUUCUCUGCAGUCUGAUUAUAUCCCUAAGGGGAAAAAUGCUUCAUUUAUGAGCUAUUCCCACCAUGUAGCUUUGAAAUGCUUACUUUUAUUCUAACUUAAAUUAGCUAAAAGCCUGUUUGUUUAACCAUGAUGGCUUUAGAUCCAAA